AUUGAACGCUGGCGGCAUGCCUUACACAUGCAAGUCGAACGGUAACAGGUCUUCGGAUGCUGACGAGUGGCGAACGGGUGAGUAAUACAUCGGAACGUGCCUAGUAGUGGGGGAUAACUACUCGAAAGAGUGGCUAAUACCGCAUGAGAUCUACGGAUGAAAGCAGGGGAUCGCAAGACCUUGUGCUACUAGAGCGGCCGAUGGCAGAUUAGGUAGUUGGUGGGAUAAAAGCUUACCAAGCCGACGAUCUGUAGCUGGUCUGAGAGGACGAUCAGUCACACUGGGACUGAGACACGGCCCAGACUCCGACGGGAGGCAGCAGUGGGGAAUUUUGGACAAUGGGCGCAAGCCUGAUCCAGCAAUGCCGCGUGCAGGAUGAAGGCCUUCGGGUUGUAAACUGCUUUUGUACGGAACGAAAAGCCCUGGGUUAAUACCCUGGGGUCAUGACGGUACCGUAAGAAUAAGCACCGGCUAACUACGUGCCAGCCGCCGCGGUAA
rnacentral:rRNA from 1 species